CUGAUCCCAGUGAAGACACAUAUACAGCUCUUGAGCUCAAGUCCACGACCUCUGACCUGUACGACACACUCACAACCGUUCGUCCCAGACCUCCUGAAGACUCUUGAUCCUAAACAUGAGAAUCCAUCAAUCAACAGGAAGAUGCUGCAGUGAGAGGCGGAGCACAAAGGAACCAAUCCUGAGCUCUGUGGGCGGAGCCACACAUG